AAAAGGGGGUGGGUUGAGGGCCUUGGAGGAGCCCUGAUAAAGCCACAAGGAACAGCACUGCUGGGAAGAGCUGCAUGUGAGAAGGCCACCCAGAAGGAAACCACCUGUUAGGAUGCCUACCUAAGAAGAGCAAACUGCACCAGGAAGAAGUACAUAAGCAUGUGAUUGUCUGAGAAUGGCAUCUCCUUAAACCCCAAAUCACAUCAAAGAGAACAACAGGUGCCUUGGAAUUACAGAGGCCCUGGCAAGUUAAAUACACACUUCUUCAAAAUAAUAUUUGUAAUAACUGCACUGCUAGACCUACUGAAACCCUGUUCAUGGGCCAGUGUUUGACCAGCACCAGAGUCAGAGAAAACACUUAACUGAAGUUAUCCAGUCCUCUGCUUCCCCUGGCCAGGAUGUCUCCUUCAGGACUGAACUGACCUCCUCCUGAGUCUAGAGGAUAGUGGGGAUCAACACUGGCAUAAUUUUUGUUUACUGGUGCCUUUGUUGUGAAACUCUAUGGUUGUGAUUUACUGCUGUUAUUCACAGAGCAAGGCAUGAUUAACAGUGGUUAAAAGCCAAAAGGCUGUGAGCAGCCCGAGCAAUGGUGUCAGCUGUUAAUGAAACUCGUAGCAAAUGCAGAUCUUAAAAGUUCAUCUCAGAAUCUGCUGACAUUGCAGAGCUUCCCUUAGAGCUGCAAUACCAUUCCAACACAGAGGAAAAAAGUGUGCGUGAGAAAAGACCUGUCUAGGUUAAUGCCACAUGCAGGGCUGGUGUUGGAUUUAGUGACUCUGCUUGCCUCCACCACAUUUUUUGGUUUGCUUCUAGCUAUCCACACUAUGGGAAACCCUGCUGUAUCAGCUAGCUGGGCAGUUUGUAUUUAACUGGUGGGUAUGUGUUAUCAACAAGCAAAGGAAAUAAUAACAUCAAAGUCACAUGUCAAAAAAGCAAGUGUUUAACAAGUAUUAUUUGAUGUACAUUAUUUUAUUUGCAGUCUUUUCUCCUCACUUCUUCUGCAUCAGCAGUUGCUCACCUUUGCUACGUUAUGACGCAAAGUUCAAGGGGUUGCAUUGCAUUAUCACAGACAUCAGUAGAGAGAAAUUGGCUUGCUAUUAAUAAAAAUUGUAAAAUCAACCUUACAAUAAACCCUGCUUUUGGCCACGACCUCUGCCUCCUGGAUGCAGCAGUGAAACACAGCCCAGAGCUCUCACUGAGUAUUUUUAACCCAGGGUUAAAAUCUCCCUGUGCAAAGGUCAGCUGUGGAAAGGACUCAUCACAGGGCUGAGAGAUGCAGAAGUGCUGAUUUACCCAUUCCAGAGCAGCCUGGAAUGGGGAUAUCCAGGGGAAUGGACGAACUUGACUCUUUUCUGGCUCUUUCAAAGGGGUCUCAGUGUCCACCAAAAUCAGCUGAAAGCAUCUCUGUAACUUUAUUUUGCCAACCAUGCAAAGCAAAGCCACGCAGCUUUUAGGGCAGGAAGUGCAGUUUGCUGGAAGCAAUGUGAAUUCCUUUGGCUCCUUUUUGCAUCACUAAUUUUUAUUUAUCACACAAAAUCAUAAACUGCACAUAAACUUAAAUGCAGACAUAAUGUACAUUACUGUGAUAAUAGAGAAGCUGUGCUCCUUUAAUCAGACAGAUGAAAUAGAAAUAGACAUAUUGAAUGAGUUCUCAUCGGUGGAAUGUUCAAAUUCCUUCUUUUUUCCAAAUCUUUAAAUUCUAACUGGUCUGUUAAGGAUAAAAAAGUAUAAUUACACUAAAAUGUGCUUUCAAAAGCAACACAUCAACUAAAUUUCUUCAGACAACAGCAUAUGAAUGUCUAAAGACUUGCUUGAAAGCCUUUCACAUAGGGCCCUGCACUCGGUAUCUUCUCCAAGUUUUGUUGUGGAGUGACUAUUUGGAAUUUACAAACCAUUCAAGCAGAAUACAUGACUACAGUUUUGAAUGUAUAUAAAUAGCACUCCUGUGAGUUAGGUUAGCUGCUUAAAAAUGUUAAUUAAGGGAAGUCCACGUUUCCAGUUAUUGUUUUGUUUUGUACAAGGUCACAGCGUAGCAGGGCUUAACCAAUGACAAGCACAGCCAAAUUUGAUAGGCAAAGCCAAAACACCUAUGGAAAAACAUACAAACUAGUGCCAGAAUUGUGAAAUGCAGAUUUAAAUAAACUGAGUUAUGAACUGGAACUGGCUACAGUAUAGUUGCAAAUGUCAGUGAAGCAAACAAGCUCAUUCUUUGCCUGUGAAGUAGCGUUGGAACACAUCCUAUACACAGCCUGUAUUUAAAUGUAAAUAUGGGGUUACCUU